rfam:Nelumbo nucifera unplaced genomic scaffold scaffold00012, whole genome shotgun sequence
AGGAGCUGUGUGAGAUGAAAGUCUCAUUCACAGUUUUGAAUGAGAGAAAUAAGUGAGAAAUCCCCAUUUCAACUGUGACUCCCCCGCUUUAGUCAUUGCUUUUCUUUUUGUUACUCCAAAAGCAGUUGCUUUAGCUUCAUCCACUCGAAU